rnacentral:rRNA from 1 species
AGAGUUUGAUCAUGGCUCAGGACGAACGCUUGCGGCGUGCCUAAGAAAUGCAAGUCGAACGGAGGUAGCAAUACCUUAGUGGCGAACGGUCGCGUAACACGUAAGCAACCUGCCCCGAAGCGGGGGACAACAGCCUGAAAGGGCUGCUAAUACCGCAUGUGGUUGUUGGGAGGCAUCUUCCAACAUCUAAAGAUUGAUCACUUCGGGAUGGGCUUGCGGCCUAUCAGGUGGUUGGUGGGGUAACGGCCUACCAAGCCUUUGACGGGUAGCUGGUCUGAGAGGAUGUCCAGCCGGAUUGGGACUGAGAUACGGCCCAGACUCCUACGGGGGGCAGCAAUUAGGAAUCUUGCGCAAUGGACGAAAGUCUGACGCAGCGACGCCGCGUGCGGGAGGAAGGGUUUCGGCCUGUAAACCGCUUUUGACGGGGAAGAAGAAUGUGACGGUACCCGUCGAAUAAGCCCCGGCUAACUACGUGCCAGCAGCCGCGGUAAUUC